AUUCGUCCAACGGAAGUAGAGGAAAGUGGCGGACGGGUGAGUAACGCGUGAGGAACCUGCCUUGAAGAGGGGGACAACAGUUGGAAACGACUGCUAAUACCGCAUGACAUAUAGAUGUCGCAUGGCAUUUAUAUCAAAGAUUUAUCGCUGAAAGAUGGCCUCGCGUCUGAUUAGCUAGUUGGUGAGGUAACGGCCCACCAAGGCGACGAUCAGUAGCCGGUCUGAGAGGAUGAACGGCCACAUUGGGACUGAGAUACGGCCCAAACUCC
rnacentral:rRNA from 1 species